rnacentral:rRNA from 1 species
GACCCGCUCACGGGUGAGUAACACGUAUGCAACCUGCCCGCCACAGGGGGAUAAGCGGAAGAAAUUCCGUCUAAUACCGCGUGACGCGGCGCCGGGGCAUCCCGGUGCCGCCAAAGGGAUUACCGGUGGCGGAUGGGCAUGCGGCGCAUUAGCUAGUCGGCGGGGUAACGGCCCACCGAGGCGACGAUGCGUAGGGGUUCUGAGAGGAAGGUCCCCCACACUGGUACUGAGACACGGACCAGACUCCUACGGGAGGCAGCAGUGAGGAAUAUUGGUCAAUGGGCGCGAGCCUGAACCAGCCAAGUCGCGUGAGGGAUGACGGUCCUACGGAUUGUAAACCUCUUUUGCCGGGGAGCAAGCGUGCGUUCGUGAACGCACGUCGAGAGUACCCGGAGAAAAAGCAUCGGCUAACUCCGUGCCAGCAGCCGCGGUAAUACGGAGGAUGCGAGCGUUAUCCGGAUUUAUUGGGUUUAAAGGGUGCGUAGGCGGGAUGCCAAGUCAGCGGUAAAAAUGCGGUGCUCAACGCCGUCGAGCCGUUGAAACUGGCGUUCUUGAGUGGGCGAGAAGUAUGCGGAAUGCGUGGUGUAGCGGUGAAAUGCAUAGAUAUCACGCAGAACUCCGAUUGCGAAGGCAGCAUACCGGCGCCCUACUGACGCUGAGGCACGAAAGCGUGGGUAUCGAACAGGAUUAGAUACCCUGGUAGUCCACGCAGUAAACGAUGAAUGCUAACUGUCCGGCGCGAAUGAGCGCUGGGCGGUACAGCG